rnacentral:rRNA from 1 species
AGAAUCAACGCUGGCGGCGUGCCUAACACAUGCAAGUCGAACGAGAAAGUGGAGCAAUCCAUGAGUAAAGUGGCGCACGGGUGAGUAACACGUGACUAACCUACCCUUGAGUGGGGGAUAAACCUAGAGAAAUCUGGGCUAAUACCGCAUAAUACCUUCGGGUCAAAGGAGCAAUUCGCUUAAGGAGGGGGUCGCGGCCGAUUAGUUAGUUGGCGGGGUAAUGGCCCACCAAGACUAUGAUCGGUAUCCGGCCUGAGAGGGCGCACGGACACACUGGAACUGAAACACGGUCCAGACUCCUACGGGAGGCAGCAGUGGGAAUUUGCGCAAUGGGGAAACCCUGACGCAGCAACGCCGCGUGGAGGAUGAAGUCCCUUGGGACGUAAACUCCUUUCGAUCGGGACGAUAAUGACGGUACCGAGAGAAGAAGCCCGGCUAACUUCGCGCCAGCAGCCGC